UACGUAGGGGCCUAGCGUUGUCCGGAUUUAUUGGGCGUAAAGAGCUCGUAGGCGGUUCGGUAAGUCAGGUGUGAAAUCUCCACGCUCAACGUGGAGGCGCCAGCUGAAACUGCCGUGACUCGAGUCCGGUAGGGGAGUGUGGAAUUCCCGGUGUAGCGGUGAAAUGCGCAGAUAUCGGGAGGAACACCAGUGGCGAAGGCGGCACUCUGGGCCGGUACUGACGCUGAGGAGCGAAAGCGUGGGGAGCGAACAGG
rnacentral:rRNA from 1 species